rnacentral:lncRNA from 1 species
UUUCUUAUUACUGUCCCAUUUCUAACUGAGGGAAAUCAUUGUUCAACCUUUUCUCUGGCAUCAUUAUUCCCUUAUGCUAGGAAAGCGUUCCAGUCUGUGCUCUGUCUAGAGAGCAUUUCUGCUGGGUGCGAGCACGCACUUUACACGUGCCUUUUAGUAAACUGUACAUUCUGGGGAAGUAUUUGUCACAUAUGAAGAGUCUAGACUACCCAGAUGAGACCAUUACGUUGUCAUCUGGCCAUAACCCAAAACAAAUAUUAUCCCUCCCGUGACUACAUUAGACUAAUAUCACUAAGUCCUUAAAUACUCCCAAGCGUUCUUGUUUCCUCCUGGCUUGUGCCCUGUUCCAUCAGAGUGAAGCAGGCUCGUGCACUGUGCUGCAGCUCUGAUGAGGAAAUGGGCCAUUUGGUGGCAUUUCAGCCCAUUUGCUACACACAGAUGGGCAGAUGGAAUGCUGGCUGUGCACAUCGGCUUCACCCAAACCAGUCUGUGGUCACUCAUGCCAGGGACCUGCUGCAUUUUCACCUUUGGGGAGCUUAUGGUGUCCUUUGAAUCUUCGAACAUUCUUCAGGACUGAUAUUUAUGCCUGCUGGAGCCUGAGGAGCUGUUGGGUUGGAGGAUCUUUUUUCCCAACUCCAAAGCCAGAGCUGCCUCAAGCUGUGCCUCCCGGACUGCCCAAUCAGCCUCAGAUUCUGCGGCAUCACAGAAUCAUGGAGUAUCUGAGACUGGAAAGGACCCACAAGAAUCAUUGUGCCCAACUCCUGGCUCCCCAAAAUCAAACCAUAUGAGUGAGGCAGACAUCCUCCUGUUUGCUCUUGAAUGAGGGCAGAGUUCCCCUUUCUGGCCUGGGAGAAGAUCAUGAUGGUGUUUUUCUCUGGGAAUCAAAUCCCCGUUCUUAGUUCUCCUGUGAUCUAAGGGCCUCAUAAGCUGAGGCAUUGCUUUCUAUGACAAAGCCUUCCUUCUCACUUCCUCUCUCUUCCCCUCCAGCCAGGGCAGUUUCAGCAGAGGUAUCACAAUAGUGUCUCUGCCCCACAACAGGGCAUGAUGCUGGGGCUGGGCUGUGAAGGAGGAUGCCUGAAGUAAAACUCCAAGAACAACCAUGCUAGGACAGAUCAAGAGGCCAUGCAUCCCACUCCUGUCUUUGAAAGUCAUUAGUAGGAGAUACAUAGGGAAACAACAUAAUAAAAAGAGAGAAAAGGAGCAACGUUUACUGUAUCAUACUUGCCCAGCUUCUAGAAAUCAGCAGCUCAGGAAAAAUCAAACCUUUCUUUUCCUUUUCCUUUUCCUUUUCCUUUUCCUUUUCCUUUUCCUUUUCCUUUUCCUUUUCCUUUUCCUUUU